ensembl:lincRNA Gm42601 predicted gene 42601
GGCUCACUCUCCCUGGACGGCUUUGGAAGUCAGGAGACAGUAUCAGCAUUGUCCACAGCCUUCUCCUGCCUUGCUCCGAUUGGUUGAAGUUCCGAUCCAGUGCUCUUCGGAAGCGACUGACUGGAUGCUGAGGCUCUUCCCCGAUGUCUUCAAAGUUGGAAAAGCCUACUGGAAGGUGGAAGGACUGAGGAAGGAGAGGCUGGAAGAUAUGCCUAGGUGUGUGUCACGUUGAGAAAAACCCAGCACAGAGAAAGAAUGGAGUACCUGCCAUUCAGCAUGUCCAUCACGGAUACACCAGGAGAAAAGGCCGGGACAGGAGGGACUGAUUCAAACAUCAGAAGACAUGGACUGUUUUGGGCUGUGGAUGUUAAGCUAAGAAUGUGUAACACGUGAACUUGGCGGACUAUCUGGUCAGAGGAGUAAAGACCCUGGCCAUCUACAUUAGCAAAUCUUUCCCAAACAGGAUCGACUGAAACAGAAGACACACCAGAAUCAGCUGUGACUGAAGAAAGCAAAGAUUAGUGAAAUACUGCCCAAUCUUUCUGGCCUCUGUCAUGAUCACCUUUUUAAAAGGCCUUACAGAAUAAGGUUUUGUUUCAAAGGACAUAAUCUUACAGCAGUGCCAAACACCUUGCCCUCUACAGAACACAAUAGCCCACACAGAAAUAAAUCAAAAAACCUGGGUAAGAGUAGUCGAUGGGAAGAGGUCAGAAGAUAAACAAUAACUUGUUUUCAAUUUGUAGCGGCCGAGCAAAGCUACCCACCCAGCCAGGUUGGCCAGCUUUAAUAGCAGGAACCCAAGGUUAAGUUCACAGCAGGGGUUGAAAGGCUGAGCUCCACUGUCUUGGCUUCUGGACAAGAAAGAGAACUUGUGACCGAAAGGGACACUCCAAAAGGAAUUUCAAUGAAGUACAACUUGAGCAAAAACAAUAAGUUACCCAGAUUUCUUGGAGCAUGGACAGAGAGCUUGGCAUGUGGAGUGAACGUCAUCCCUAAACAACACAGCCUUGCCUCGUAGCUAUGGAACCCACUGCCCAUGUGGUCCCCUUGGGCUGGCUUCCUCCUAAACUGUAUUUGGUGACUGCCAAUCCACUCUCAUGCCCUUGCUGCUUUUAACUCUGUUUAGAUGAUUCCCACAGAAAUCUGUCCCACCCUAGACAUCAUGGUAAAUAUUCUUUGCUAAGAUGUCAUCAUUGGCUUUGUGAAAAUUUCUCCUUUGGGACCACAGAAGCCAUGUCGAUGGUGAAAAUAUAAAAUAGCUCAACCCUUUGGAGAAUUGUUUGGCAGCAUCUCAUGACAGUAACUAUACAGCUGACCUCUGACCCAGUAGUUCCCAUUCCAGAUAUUUACUCAAGAACGGCAGAAAUGCAUGUUCACAUAUAAAAAUGCUCACAGCAUCUUUAUUCAUAAUAACCCCAAACUGGAAAUGACUUAAAUGAGUAUCAAGGAGAGAAUAAAUCAAUAAAUGUCAUUACUACUUGGAAAUGAAAAAAAUCAGAUUACUGGCAAAUGCUGUAAUAUCAAUAAAUAUCCAUUGUGUC